AUGAUGUUGUGUGUGUUAGAGGCUGGGUCUUUGCGGGCAAGGUGAGUCCUACAUUUGUUCAACUGGCCUACAAAGUCCCAGUUUCUGGCUCAUGUGACCACC
rnacentral:pre_miRNA from 11 species